rnacentral:lncRNA from 1 species
AAAUCCUGAACGGACUUAUCGAAGUCGACAAAGGACUCAAGGCCUUGAGACUUGCCGAAGAAAGGCCGGAAACAACUGCAAAAGACCCCAUUGGAGGACCUUUGGUCCAGUUAUCUUUGAAAUGAGGCUCCAAUCAUCGAACCCAAAGGUCGGGAGAGGUGAGAGUGAAUGAAUAAGGGAGUUUCAGGUCCAGGACGAUCAUGAACGCUGGUGAAAAGGGCCGGAGACUACUAGGCUUUUCAGAGAACUUAGAGAGCUUUAGGGAUUCAAA